GUUAAUGGGCUAUCCGGUGUUGGUUCUUACAAAUCUACAUGUGCUAUCUCCUACUUUCUGAUUUUAUUUAAUUAUGUUUUCUUUUCUUUUCCUUUCUUUUCUCUUUUUUUCCUUUCUCUCUCUCUGUUUCUCCCUUCCCCUCCCCUCUCUCCUCCCCAUCUCCCGUCUCCUCCAAGGUCUUACUCUGUUGCCCAGGCAGGGAUGCAGUGGUCUCAUCAUUGCUCACUGCAGCCUAUAACUCUGGGGCUUAAGUGAUCCCCCCUGCCUCAGUCUCUGAGUAGUUAGGAUUACUGGUGCAAGCCACUAUGCUGGGCCAUUUUAUUUUAUUUUAUUUUUAAAGUUACUUUAUUUUAUUUGUAGAGAUGGGGGUCUUAGCUUGCCCAGGCUGGUCUCAGACUCCUGGCCUCAAUCAAUUCUCCUGCCUUGUCUCCCAAAGUGUUGGGAUUACAGGUGUGAGCCAUCGCACCAAGCCCUUUCCUCCCAUUUCUUUGGUACUGUUUAUCUCUUUCUGCGGAUCUCAAAGCAAACAUUUCACAGGCCUUUUUUUCUCUUGUGGACUCACAAGGCUUCCUGCUUAUAAUGGCAUCUUUUAAUGAGCACAUCCUGUCUGCUGGUUAGGGUGCUAAGUGCUUCAGGCUGUAAACUCACCCCCGCCCCCCACGGAUUUGGGCAGGUUUUUAUCAGCCCAGAGUUUAAAUAAUAAUUUUUAUGCUUCAGGUGUGGCACACCCUCUGCAGCUGCAGCCAGCACCAUCCAUCCCCUCUUGCAUAAUACCCAGCAGAUGUUGUACGUAGUUAUUUAUAUUACCUUCCUUGUCCCUGUAGACGUUUGACUUUGCAGCCCUUGAUUAGGGGAUGCUGUUUACGUUUCCAAGGUGUCAUACUUCUCCCUUUGGUUGUGGACUUCUGUGGACUUCUCCCUUUGGUUGUGGUUGUAGAGGCAAUGUGGUAUAAUGGCUAAGACCAUAGGCCCUGGAAUUAGACUGCCUGGAUCUGAGUUCUAGCUGUACCAUUUCCUACCUGCCUUGGGUAAGUUACUUUACCUCUCAGACCUUCAGUUAAUGCCAUCUGUGGUGGCAAUAAUAACAGAACCUGCUUCAGAACUGUUACAAGGCGAAAGCACAUAUUUUUACAGAGUGUGUGCUCAAAACAUAUUGGUGAUCAUGACUGCUGGUACUUUGAGGCAGUUGCUACUCAGACUUACUAUAAGGACCUUUGUGGGGCCCUAUUAUGACUCUGGUGGCAGAGCAUCAUUUAACUAUAACACUCUGGAAGAUCUAGAUCAUGACCCCUGUUUUACAAAUGAAGUGUGGUUAGAGUAGCUAAGUAACUUACUAAGGUCACUCAAAGGCCAAACCUGCAUCCAUUGUCUCAACUUUGCCCUUGAUUUGCAAUUUUGCAGAGUUUGGGGUGAAGUUUCCCUUUCCAGCUGCUAUUCACUUGAGACCGCACUACAUAAGGGCUUGCAUCCUAGAAUAAGACUAGUUUUCAGGCAGACUCUAGCCAACUUUAGGAGUCAUUUUCAUAGAUUCUAGUGAUGAUCUUGAAAAUAAUACUUUCACAUAGCCACUGCCUUCUGUUGGAGGGGCUGGUGGCUGCUGGAUUUAUAGCUGCCUGGUCCCUGUUCCUUUGCUCUGUGUAUGUCUACCCACGCACAAAGUCAGUUUCGAUGGCUUCUGACCUUGGCAAAUGAAGUGUUGUUGCCAAGUAACAAGUGGCAUUGUUACUACUGGUUUGAGGCUUUUAUUCCCAAAUUUUAUAAAAGAAAGAUUUAAGCUUUUUUAGCCCGGCUGUCUACCUGCUUUUCAUCUUUGAACCAGAAAAGGACAAAAGAAUCUGAUAGGCUUUGCAGGUUAACUUGUCUGGCGGAUCACAAGGCCAGCAAACUAUUGGCUGGCAUCCUGAAUGAUACUGGAAGCAAAACAGCAAAACUUACCUUUCGUAAAAGACUGUGAAACUUCUAAAAUUCAGGUUGUCAUUUGGAACCAGAGAAGGUCGAGACAGGUGUGGCUGGAACAGAUGGGGAGGAAGAGCUAAGAGCUGCCACAUGGGAGUGAACUUAACACAUCAAGUUCUUCAGUCUGGCAGUGCAAAGGCAUAGCAAAGACAUGAAAUUGGUGCAGUUACACUGUGCCAAAGCUAAACGAGAAUUAUCUCAUGCAUUCCAGUGUGGUAGAUAUUAUUAUUAUGCUCAUUUUUGGAUAAAGAUGGUGAAACUUAGUGAGAUUAGUUGACAUGUAUACUAAACAGUUUUAUAGUUUAUAUUUUACAUUUACAUCUCUGAUCCAUUUUGAGUUAAUUUUUAUUUAAAGAUGAGCUUAGGCUCAGCUUAUUUUGCCACUAUUUGUUGAAGACUGUCCUUCCUCCAUUGAAUGUGUUUGCGCCUUUGUCACUCAUGGAGCGGUCAUUUCCUGUAACAAUGUCCUCUUCUGGAAUGCUUCCUGAAGGACCUGCUUGAGGCUGUUUUACAGUCAAUUAAAAAAAAAAGUCGAAGGAAUACAUUAUAAAAUAAUGAUAUAAAGUAUAAUAUAAUAAAUACAUUAACUGUAACAUUUAUCGUAAUUAUCAGGAUCCCCAGUGUCUAGGGAAGUAGGUGCUGAGUAAGAAUUUGCAAAUGGACUGUAGAUUUCUGUUACAUAGCUAGUCAUGUGUACUAGUAAUCUAAAGAUAUUUUCACUGCUACAGAAAGCCACUGGGGAGCUUGUGAAAGUUCAUAAACUUUUUCCUGCAUGCAAAUGAAACUAAGAGAUCUAGCCCCUCUCUCUUCAGCCAACUUUUGGCUUCAUGUAAUUGUUUACUCAAUUAAGGAAACUUUUCUGGGAGCUCAGAUUGUAGUAGGUUGAAUAUGCUCAAAAGCAUGCUGAAGCCUGCCACCUAACUUGUGGAAAAAAGCUGGCACUUGCUUCAAGUUGGUUGUAAUAACACAACAAAAAUCUCAUAAAGCCUGGAAUUUAAAAAUGAAUAUUCUCUAUUUUAUAUGACAUAGUAAAGACUUACAAAUAGAAUUCUUGUGAGAAUUUUAGUGAAAUGUAGUAAGAAUGCAUAUUUAAUCUGCUUCCUUGAUACAGUCAUAUACUGGGUGAAAGCAAUUGCAUAAUAUAAUACUGUGAAUCAUAAAUCAAUGGAAAAUUGUUAGCAAAUAUAAGUCAGUCUUGUUUAAGGCACCUCUAUUGAUAAGGAGUCUGAUACAGAAUCUGGCUAUGGAAAUCUGGUGUGAAAUAGUGUCCACUGAGAGAAGUUGUGUUGUGGCAGCCCAUUAACUUAGCAUUGAUUUAAACAUAUUUUGUGUUUUGCAUGAGAGCUGUUACUGGAGCCGUGGUUGAACCAAUCAUUGGUUGGUUGGUGAUAAACUAAAUUAUGCCAGCUAUAGCUACCCCAUGUCUUUAUUUGGAAGUGAACUUUAUAUGUUUUCUUUCUCUCUCUCUGUGUUUUUUUUUUUCUCUCUCUCCUUUUAUAAGAUUUUCCCCAGAGCCAGCCACAGCAGGGUUGAGCUCCUUUUCCUUUUGGAAUCUUUUCUCUUUCUGUCCCAUCUCUCUGAUAGAACAGGAAAAGUUCUCAGUUUUUAAUAACUCAUGUGAUUAGAUCCGCCCGACUAGGUAAUCCAGAGUAAUCCCCGUAUCUCAAGGUCCAUACCCUUUAUCAUAAAUUGCAAAAUCCUUUUGUAAUGUAAGGAUCUAAGUGAGGUGCACACAUUGUAUUUGGUUGGUGAUAUGGUUUGGAUCUGUGUCCCCACCAAAUCUCAUGUCAAAUUGUAAUCCCCAGUGUUGGAGUUUGGGCCUUGUGGGAGUGAUUGGAUCAUGCAGGUUCAGCAAUGGUUCACAAAUGGUUCAGCACCAUCCCACUAGGUCCUGUCCUCUCAAUAGUGAGUUCUCGCAAGCUCUGAUUGUUUAAAAGUUGGUAGGUGUUAUAGGCACUUGAUGCUUUCCAUCUUUGUAUGAAUGAAUAAAAGGAGUGAUCUGGUCAGGUUGAAAUGGUCAUCUUGAAAUGUGGAAAAGAACUUCUGAAAAAUCAUAUUUGUCUCAGGGUUUAUUAGUGUGUCUAAGCCAUCAUGCCUUGUUAGGGUUUGAGUUGCCUUAUCAUCACUGACAUCUCACUCUCUGCCCUCUGGUAUCUUAGCUGCUUGUCUUAAAUUUUGCCCACAUCUGAAUAUGUGAAGUCCUAGGGGAACCAAGCAUCCCCUUUGCCCAGGUAAAUUGAUGACUGUAUUGUGAUGAUGAUGUUGCUUCUUUUGGUUUGACAUUGGCUGUAGGUUCGGAGUGAUUUCUGUGCUUUGUCAUAAUAGCUGCUAGAGCCAUGCUGGUGGAAUAAAAGUUGAAACUCCUCAGUAAGAUGUAUGAGUUCUUCAGUGACUACUUCCUGCUUAUUCUCUGGCCUCAUCUUGAACUCCCUGCCUUCCCCUUGAGUUAUUAAACGUUGGGUUCCUCCUUCAUGCAGUGUUUUGUCCAUUGCUGCGCUGUUGUACAAGGCAUUUCUUGGGCCAGCAGUGCUCUCAACUCCUUACCCUCUGCCCCUCUGCAUCUUCUGUGGCUAACGUGGAUUCACUGUUUGGGCUGCAUCUUCUGGGAAGUCUUUCCUUUCUCCCACGUCUGGGUUGGACCCCCCUAUUUGUUCUGACUGCACGCUGUGCUUACUCUCUUUAACACUCAGCCCUUUAUUCAGCUGUAAAUCUAGAUGCUGUUCCAUCAGACCAGGAAACUUACCAUGUUUAUUAUCAGGUCUCCAGCACCUGGUAUGGUGCUUGGCAAAUGGAGCCUCAUUUGUGUAUAUUUUUAUGUAACAUGAUUUAUAAUGGCUGCAUAAUAGUCCUUAGCAUCUAACCAUUUUGUGUUUGCUGCUUAAGCAGUAGCAUCAUUUCCGUACCCAUAAUUUUAUGAGGAUGGCUAAGUCUGGGAUGAAUGGGAGCAAGACCUGUCUAUUGGGAUUCAUUCAUUACUCCUGCAAGAUGAGUUAGAUGCCAACAAAAGACACACACACACACACACACACACACACACACACACACACACAGAUGAGAUGAUCUUUUGAGUGGAGUUUUGGAGAGUGUGUUGAAGUCACCAUGGAAGGAAAAUGGUUAGGCAUUCGGUACUUGAGGCAGGAAACUAGGCAUUCUUCAGUCAUCCAUUCAGUCAGCCAUUUAAUAUUUACCUAAUUCAGUGUUUGUUUUAUGCCAGGUAUUGUGUACUUGAUAGAUGUUACAGGAAUGAACAAAAGAAAGAUGGUACUUGCCUGAGUGUUGCUACCAGAUAAUUGAACUGAAUUGAUAUGAACAAUUUGCAAGAGCCACUGCUUUCUGAACCCCAGGGUGCAAUGUGGAUUUGGGCACAUUUUUAGAGGGCCUUGAAGUAAUUCUAAAGGACUUUUUAUUUUUCUAGACAUUUCUUACACAGAUGCUCUGUUUACCAUCUUUUAUUUUUAAUUACACGAGUAACUCAUGAAUGCGUUCACAUGGUGAAAAAUUACAACCCCAAGGAGGAAUGGAGAGUUGCCUCCAUCUUCCUUGUCUCCCCCAUCCCUCCCAUCAAAUAGAAUUUAGAAUUCUCCUAUCAGAAUAACCAUUUUGUUCAGACCUUUUCUGAUAGGAUAUGGAAAGGAGGGAGGGAAGGAGGAGAAUUUUAAGGGCAGAAUUGUACCUCAAAUGCUAAGAAUAAUGCGUUGCACAUAGUAGGCUCUCAGAAAAAUUUUAACUGAAUGAAGAUGUUUUAGGGCAGUGGUCCCCAACCUUUUUGGCACCAGGGACCGGUUUCAUGGAAGUCAAAUUUUCCAGGAGGUUGAGUGGGGCAGGGAGCAUGGUUUCAGGAUGAAACUGUUCCACCUCAGACCAUCAAGC
rnacentral:lncRNA from 1 species